UCCACAUGCAUGUCAACCUGGAGCGGAAUAAGAAAAAAACAGGCCUCGCCGGGUAUUGAGAGCCGCGAGAGUGUGUUUGGGUUAAAGAGAGUAUGCGCGGUAGCCGCGCGGAGGGCACCGCCUCCCGGUCUGUCCACAAUUAUUUUUUUGCUUUUUGUGCUGCUGCCGCCGGAGCCGGUUACAGGGAGGGGGCUCCAUGAGUCUUCGACGACACUGAGCAACAAGCAUUCAAUGUCAAAAAUGCUCUCGAAAUACUCGAAAUUCGUUUAUAUUUUAUACUUUAUGGCAUUGCCAUCGAAC
ensembl:ncRNA F22A3.10 ncRNA